rnacentral:lncRNA from 1 species
CUCAAUCCCAGGACCCUGGGAUCAUGACCUGACCUGAAGACAGACAACCUGCCCAGCCACCUAGAUGUCCCUGUAGCCUUUGAUAUUACCUCAGUAUUCAGAGUUUACUCUAAGUCAGUGACCACAUGUAUGUAUUCUAGAGCACAGAGGACAGGAGUAACUACUCUAUCAGAAUAAGAGUAUUUCAGGGACUUGGUCUUUGCAGGAGAAACUCCAAUUCUUGAGAAACCCCAAUUCUUGAGGUAACUAAAAGUAGACGUUCAGAAGAUCAGGGCUUCUUCACAGAAGCCUUAAGGACUACAAAUAACAUGGGUUCUGUUUUUCAGGCAACAAGACUAUCAACUCUGAGGUUUAAAUAAAGGCUGAAUUUAUCUCGUUUAGCAAGGAAUAUUGGAACAUGGUUUAACUAAGGAUUGCUUGAUCGAGAUUUAUAUACUUUUCUGGUUGCUCUAAAACAGAAAAGAAAAAAAAAACAAAAAAGCCAAACCCAAGAGGAUCAAAGUGUAUGUCUCUGCUGGAACAAACAGAAGCAAGAGAGGCUGGGGAGAAGAGAAGAUUUAGCCCUUGGGUGGAUUUUGCUGAAAUGUUCUAUUUGUGCAGCGGUGAUUUGUACCAGUUCAGUUUUCAGGUUGAAGGUGCCCCAUUUCCCCUCCAGAGGGGUCUGCCUUCCUAAAGGUACACCGUGCCCUCCCGUUCUUCCAGGUUGCCCACUGUACACUCCGAAGAGAACCGUGACGAACUUGCCCUCUUGGGUCUUGAGUUGCCCAGAUGCGUGUUGCUGUCGCUGCAGCGGAAGACCUUCAUCCUACUGCUCACUCCUCGGCUCGACAAAAGCAAUUUUUCACUCCCGGGCUUUGCAGGGGCCAGGUUUCUGGUUUCUCCACCCCACCUCCCCGCAGCCCUCCGCUCCCUGCACCCAGGGCUUCCGGCCUCCACCCCGACAUUCCAGGUAACCUGACUCCCCCGACGGCAGAGGCGGGGGCCGGUGCCGGGAGGGCGCGGCCACGUGACCUCCCCGCCCGCCGGGAGCGCGCGCCCCACUCGGGGAACCGGGGGAGCCCAGCGCCCUGCUUAGAGACCGAAGUUGAAAAGCAUUAGAUUUGCCGAAAGGCCGCUUGCUUCUGCAUCAGGCAGCGUCCCCUGUGAUCAUCGCAAGUGCAAGGGCGAGGCGGGCCGCGGGGUUUUCCUGGCGUGAAGCGACCCGCCGGGCGAAGGCGGCGCGAGUCUGACGGCGGAGGCCGGGCGGGGCGCGGGGGCAGCCUGGGCUGGGAAGGGCGCCCCCCGGCGGCUCCCUCGCUCUGCCCCGGCUCUGCCCUCGCAGCUCUCGCCGCUGACCUGUGAAAUGGGAGAAAGUAUUAUGAUGUCAUAUAUAAUAAAUAUAUAAUAAAAUGGGAGAAAACAUUAUAAUAUCAUAUAUAUAAUAAAAUGGGAGAAAAUAGAUCACAUAUUAAUAUAUAAGUAUAUAAUAAAAUGGGAGAAAAUAUUAUAUCAUGUUAAUAUAUAAUAUAAUAAAUAUAUAAUAAAAUGGGAG